rnacentral:rRNA from 1 species
AUACGAAGGGUGCAAGCGUUACUCGGAAUUACUGGGCGUAAAGCGUGCGUAGGUGGUUGUUUAAGUCUGUUGUGAAAGCCCUGGGCUCAACCUGGGAACUGCAGUGGAAACUGGACAACUAGAGUGUGGUAGAGGGUAGCGGAAUUCCUGGUGUAGCAGUGAAAUGCGUAGAGAUCAGGAGGAACAUCCAUGGCGAAGGCAGCUACCUGGACCAACACUGACACUGAGGCACGAAAGCGUGGGGAGCAAACAGGAUUAGAUACCCUGGUAGUCCACGCCCUAAACGAUGCGAACUGGAUGUUGGGUGCAAUUUGGCACGCAGUAUCGAAGCUAACGCGUUAAGUUCGCCGCCUGGGGAGUACGGUCGCAAGACUGAA